GACGAACGCUGGCGGCGUGCUUAACACAUGCCAGUCGAACGGAAAGGCCCUGCUUUUGUGGGGUGCUCGAGUGGCGAACGGGUGAGUAACACGUGAGUAACCUGCCCUUGACUUUGGGAUAACUUCAGGAAACUGGGGCUAAUACCGGAUAGGAGCUCCUGCUGCAUGGUGGGGGUUGGAAAGUUUCGGCGGUUGGGGAUGGACUCGCGGCUUAUCAGCUUGUUGGUGGGGUAGUGGCUUACCAAGGCUUUGACGGGUAGCCGGCCUGAGAGGGUGACCAGCCACAAUGGGACUGAGAGACGGCCCAGACUCCUACGUGAGGCAGCAGUGGGGAAUAUUGCACAAUGGGCCGAAGCCUGAUGCAGCAACGCCGCGUGCGGAAUGACGGCCUUCGGGUUGUAAACCGCUUUCGCCUGUGACGAAGCGUGAGUGACGGUAAUGGGUGAAGAAGCACCGGCUAACUACGUG
rnacentral:rRNA from 1 species